GGCCCGUUCGUCUAGGGGUCCAGGACGCGUCCCUUUCACGGAUGAAACAUGGGUUCGAUUCCCAUACGGGCUACCA
rnacentral:tRNA from 1 species